AAGUAGCUUGCUACUAGACGACGACCGGCGCACGGGUGAGUAACGCGUAUGUAAUCUGCCUUGUACAGAGGGAUAGCCCAGAGAAAUUUGGAUUAAUACCUCAUAGUAUUACCGAAUCGCAUGAUUUGGUAAUUAAAGCUCCGGCGGUACAAGAUGAACAUGCGUGACAUUAGCUAGUUGGUAAGGUAACGGCUUACCAAGGCCACGAUGUCUAGGGGUUCUGAGAGGAUGAUCCCCCACACUGGUACUGAGACACGGACCAGACUCCUACGGGAGGCAGCAGUGAGGAAUAUUGGUCAAUGGACGCAAGUCUGAACCAGCCAUCCCGCGUGAAGGAUGACUGCCCUAUGGGUUGUAAACUUCUUUUAUAUGCAAAUAAACCUACUUUCGUGAAAGUAGCUGA
rnacentral:rRNA from 1 species